ACGUAUGGGGCUAGCGUUGUUCGGAAUUACUGGGUGUAAAGGGUGUGUAGGCGGCCGUUUAAGUCGCGUGUGAAAUCCCAGGGCUCAACUCUGGGAGUGCGUGCGAUACUGGCUGUCUUGAGGUCGGGAGAGGAGAGCGGAAUUCCCGGUGUAGCGGUAAAAUGCGUAGAGAUCGGGAGGAACACCAGCGGCGAAGGCGGCUCACUGGACCGGAUCUGACGCUAAGAUGCGAAAGCGUGGGGAGCGAACAG
rnacentral:rRNA from 1 species